ACAUGCAAGUCGAGCGGUAGCACAGAGAGCUUGCUCUCGGGUGACGAGCGGCGGACGGGUGAGUAAUGUCUGGGAAACUGCCUGAUGGAGGGGGAUAACUACUGGAAACGGUAGCUAAUACCGCAUAACGUCGCAAGACCAAAGUGGGGGACCUUCGGGCCUCAUGCCAUCAGAUGUGCCCAGAUGGGAUUAGCUAGUAGGUGGGGUAACGGCUCACCUAGGCGACGAUCCCUAGCUGGUCUGAGAGGAUGACCAGCCACACUGGAACUGAGACACGGUCCAGACUCCUACGGGAGGCAGCAGUGGGGAAUAUUGCACAAUGGGCGCAAGCCUGAUGCAGCCAUGCCGCGUGUGUGAAGAAGGCCUUCGGGUUGUAAAGCACUUUCAGCGGGGAGGAAGGCGUUAAGGUUAAUAACCUUGNCGAUUGACGUUACCCGCAGAAGAAGCACCGGCUAACUCCGUGCCAGCAGCCGCGGUAAUACGGAGGGUGCAAGCGUUAAUCGGAAUUACUGGGCGUAAAGCGCACGCAGGCGGUCUGUCAAGUCGGAUGUGAAAUCCCCGGGCUCAACCUGGGAACUGCAUUCGAAACUGGCAGGCUAGAGUCUUGUAGAGGGGGGUAGAAUUCCAGGUGUAGCGGUGAAAUGCGUAGAGAUCUGGAGGAAUACCGGUGGCGAAGGCGGCCCCCUGGACAAAGACUGACGCUCAGGUGCGAAAGCGUGGGGAGCAAACAGGAUUAGAUACCCUGGUAGUCCACGCCGUAAACGAUGUCGAUUUGGAGGUUGUGCCCUUGAGGCGUGGCUUCCGGAGCUAACGCGUUAAAUCGACCGCCUGGGGAGUACGGCCGCAAGGUUAAAACUCAAAUGAAUUGACGGGGGCCCGCACAAGCGGUGGAGCAUGUGGUUUAAUUCGAUGCAACGCGAAGAACCUUACCUGGUCUUGACAUCCACAGAACUUUCCAGAGAUGGAUUGGUGCCUUCGGGAACUGUGAGACAGGUGCUGCAUGGCUGUCGUCAGCUCGUGUUGUGAAAUGUUGGGUUAAGUCCCGCAACGAGCGCAACCCUUAUCCUUUGUUGCCAGCGGUCCGGCCGGGAACUCAAAGGAGACUGCCAGUGAUAAACUGGAGGAAGGUGGGGAUGACGUCAAGUCAUCAUGGCCCUUACGACCAGGGCUACACACGUGCUACAAUGGCAUAUACAAAGAGAAGCGACCUCGCGAGAGCAAGCGGACCUCAUAAAGUAUGUCGUAGUCCGGAUUGGAGUCUGCAACUCGACUCCAUGAAGUCGGAAUCGCUAGUAAUCGUAGAUCAGAAUGCUACGGUGAAUACGUUCCCGGGCCUUGUACACACCGCCCGUCACACCAUGGGAGUGGGUUGCAAAAGAAGUAGGUAGCUUAACCUUCGGGAGGGCGCUUACCACUUUGUGAU
rnacentral:rRNA from 1 species